AGGGUGACACCACUUGACCCACUAUACUUGCCAGAAACUAAAGAUGCUAUACAGGGCUCUGAGCUGAGACAGCUGUGCUGGCGUCUCCACGUCCACGGAAACCUCAGGCAGCCCCAAGCGGGCUUCGGAGCGCAGACCCCGUUCAAGUCCCUGGGCUGUUCCUCCCCAGCCACGCACGUGGUUAAACCCCGGAUGCUCCUGGCAGGGCCUUGGUUGUGUAGACGGAGCGGGGACAGGCUUUGAAAGAAAAACCGAGCCAAGAUUUUGAGAGUGGGGAUCUCAUGUAAAUAUCAGGAUUUCUGGCUUCUCUCUGAAAAUCAGGUCUGGGGACCGUGGGCCCACACUCUGCACGGUGACCGUCACUUCCUAGUCGCUGGGCAAGCGGUGGCUUGCAGAGUGAUGUUUUUCCUACCCCAGACCCCUCCCACUGCGUGUGCAACACCCGUGUCAGGCUCAAGGGGCCCGGCCCUCGUCUGUCUGCCCAUCAUCCUGUCCCCUAAUUAGCUGAACAAGCUAACCCGAGCAUGACUGGUCUAGGGCCUGUGGGUAAACCGAGUCACCUGCCUCUGUCUUCCCGCUUCGGGAUGGUGGAGGGCUGCCCCUGCUGCAGGGUGGGCCUCCUGGAGGCGGCGCUUCCUAUAGCUUUUUUAUUGUUAUUAUUCAUUGAGGUGAAAUUCACAUCACAUGAAAUUCACCAUUUCAGAGUGAACCAUUCAGGGGCUUUAGGUCCAUUCGCAAUGUUUGCAACCACGGCCCCCACCGAGCUCCAGAACACGUGUAUCACCCCGAAAGGAGAUGCCAGGCCCUGCCCAGUCCCCCGCUCCCCCCACUUCCCUCUCUCUCUGGAUCUGCCUGUGAAGUGGCAGCCGGUGGAAUCACGCGAUAGGCGACCUUUUGCAACCGGCCUGCUUCCCGCAGCACCGUUCUCAAGGGGCCUCCACCUUGCGGCCUGUGUCUGAAUCCCGUUCCGGGGUGAGGCUGAAGGGUGCUCUGCGGUGUGGACAGACCACAUCUCGCUCGUCCGUGCAUCACUGAGGGCCGCUCGGGCCGCGUCCGCCUUUUGGUGGCUGUGAGGAAGGCCGCUGUGACCCCAAGUGCGAGUAGCCGCCUUCAGCUCUCCAAGGCCACUUGGCUUCGGCAAGUGCUUGACAGAGAGCCGCCCGAGUGCCACUGGGGACACGGAUGUGACCCGACACACUCGCCGCCCUCCUGGAGGCCAGGAGCUGCCCGCAGACAGACAGACCACUACUUCGCGGCAACACCGCCUGCACAAAAGCCACGACGGCUGGCUCCUCAGGCCUCCAUUUCCGCGUCUGGAGAAUGGGUCUGAUGGGAGUAGCCCAGCCCCCGGGGUCCCCUGGGCUCCUUCUCCCCGCACACUCCUGGGAGGAGGGUAGAAACCGCUUCGCUAGUCCCUCCAGCCACGUGUCUGUGCCGAGGCCCCAGGCUGCAGCCACGGUGUCUGUGCUGGGCUGGGCUCGGCAUAGAUGGUGGUGAGGAAGACGGAUGGAGGGGCAGGAGCGCGUGGUGACGUGGGCCUGAGCCAGGGGCUGGCUGAGCGCCACUCCAGGCCUCCGAGGCUGCCCCGUGAGCUUUGCGCUGGUCCUGAGAGCAGUGGGACAAGUUGGAGGAAUUUAAGCAAAGAAGGGAUGCGCUGCGAUGUGUGUUGCAAGAGCUGGCUGGGCGUGCAGGUGAAGGACGCUCAGGGCGCCUGUCACUGGGGGAGGGGUCACAGGGGAAGUGGGUGGCCCGAGAUAUAUUGAGGAGGUAAGACUGACAGGUUUGUCAGACUGGCCACGAGGGAGACGGCUCAGUGUCCCCCCUGAGCAGCCUGUCACCUCCCUCUCCAUCCCUUCCUUCUUUUUUGUUUUUUGAGGAAGAUUAGCCCUGAGCUGACAUCUGCUGCCAAUCCUCCUCUUUGUUGCUGAUGAAGACUGGCCCUGAGCUAACAUCCAUGCUCAUCUUCCUCUACUUUAUACAUGGGACGCCUGCCACAGCACGGCUUGCCAAGCAGUGCCAUGUCCACACCCAGCAUCUGAACUGGUGAACCCCAGGCAGCCAGAGCGGAACAGGUGAACUUAACUGCUGUGCCACUGGGCCGGCUCCAAUUCCUUCCUUCUUUGAUGCGAUUUUCCUCUUGCUCUGUUGCUUCCAUCGACCGCCGAAGGACGGCAUAGCUCUGGUGACAAAUUGGCAAAGUACAGAAAGAUAGUAUUUUCCAUAAUCUCGCCAUUCGGGGACAAGCCCUGUCGGUCUGCUGGCACAUCUCCUCCCGUCUUUUUCCUCUGCGUUU
ensembl:lncRNA